GACGAACGCUGGCGGCGUGCUUAACACAUGCAGGUCGAACGGAAAGGCCCUGCUUUUGUGGGGUGCUCGAGUGGCGAACGGGUGAGUAACACGUGAGUAACCUGCCCGUGACUUUGGGAUAACUUCAGGAAACUGGGGCUAAUACCGGAUAGGAGCUCCUGCUGCAUGGUGGGGGUUGGAAAGUUUCGGCGGUUGGGGAUGGACUCGCGGCUUAUCAGCUUGUUGGUGGGGUAGUGGCUUACCAAGGCUUUGACGGGUAGCCGGCCUGAGAGGGUGACCGGCCACAUUGGGACUGAGAUACGGCCCAGACUCCUACGGGAGGCAGUAGUGGGGAAUAUUGCACAAUGGGCGGAAGCCUGAUGCAGCAACGCCGCGUGCGGGAUGACGGCCUUCGGGUUGUAAACCGCUUUCGCCUGUGACGAAGCGUGAGUGACGGUAAUGGGUAAAGAAGCACCGGCUAACUACGUG
rnacentral:rRNA from 1 species